rnacentral:rRNA from 1 species
GAUGAACGCUAGCGGCAGGCUUAAUACAUGCAAGUCGAGGGGCAUCAAGGUACACGAAAGUGUAUUGUUGGCGACCGGCGGACGGGUGAGUAAUAGGUAGGUAACCUACCUCAUACUGAGGCAUAGCUGGGAGAAAUUCCAGGUAAUUCCUCAUGAGGUUAUAUGACACAUGUGAUAUAAUCAAAGGUAUCGCAAGGUACUGGUAUGAGAUGGGCUUACUGACCAUUAGCUAGUUGGUGAGAUAAGAGCUCACCAAGGCGAAGAUGGUUAGGGGUUUUGAGAGAGAGAUCCCCCACAUUGGAACUGAGAUACGGUCCAGACUCCUACGGGAGGCAGCAGUAGGGAAUAUUGGGCAAUGGGCGAAAGCCUGACCCAGCGACGCCGCGUGAGGGAAGAAGGCCUUCGGGUCGUAAACCUCUGUCUAUGGGGAAGAAGCAAGCGACGGUACCCCAAGAGGAAGCCCCGUGCUAACUACGUGCCAGCAGCCGCGGU